rnacentral:rRNA from 1 species
CAGCCGCCGCGGGAAUACCGAGGGUGCAAGCGUUAAUCGGAAUUACUGGGCGUAAAGGGUGCGUAGGCGGUUGUUUAAGUCUGUUGUGAAAUCCCCGGGCUCAACCUGGGACCUGCAUUUGUGACUGUAUAGCUAGAGUACGGUAGAGGGGGAUGGAAUUCCGCGUGUAGCAGUGAAAUGCGUAGAUAUGCGGAGGAACACCGAUGGCGAAGGCAAUCCCCUGAACCUGUACUGACGCUCAUGCACGAAAGCGUGGGGAGCAAACAGGAUUAGAUACCCCGGUAGUCCCUGUCUCUUAUAC